UAGAACCACCAAUAUCCUCGACGCCAAAGGAUAUAAUGAUCAAAGUUCAUUCACCAGCAGAUUUUAGUGAUAGAUGGAUUGUUUUGGGAACUUUGUCCCAUACAUUACUCUGACUAGAAUAAAGGAAGUAACAAGAUAACCAAGAAAAUAAAAUAGAGCAGCAGAGCAUUGAAAGACCCAAGAAAUGGCUUCUGAUGAACCACAUAGCAAAUAGUCUCAUCAAGAUUGUUACCCUCUACAUCUCAAGUCACAUUUUAUGGUUAUUGACUGACUUCAUGCAUAGCUGCAUCACUUGCCUGACAAAUAUGAACAGAGUACCAUGUUGCACUGGUUUUCUUGAAAGACAAAGCCUUCUCUGAAUAGGCAAAAUUCAAAUGAGUAAAACAGACUUAUGAGUCAAUUUUACAUGGAAAAACCAUCUUUCAAUCAAAAAUUCAAGUUGACUAAAAUAAGUUCUUUACUCAUUUGGAUGCAAAGGUAAUGCAUCUUGUGAACAAAUUACAUCAUUUUGAGACCGAUCAUUUUAGUUUAGAAAUUACCAAUCGAUGUAGAGAGAUAAAAAAUUUUGCUUAAAAGCAAGGUACAAAAAUACAUUAAAAGGGGAGGCUAUUAGAAAAAUAUUUAAAUUCUUUUCUAAAAUGAAUUGUACUUUUCUCUUGUUGUUUGUAAAUUUGUAUCUUGAUUUGGUCAAUAAAAUGAAUAUGUAGGUUAUGAUCAUUUGCUGUGGUCAGGCACUAGAUUCCCACUUCCACAAUAAAGGAAGUGGCAGAUGUAAGGGUGUCAAACAAUAUUCCAGUUCCUAUAAAGGCAGCCAAUGAAUGGACUGUAGAGGAGGUAGUGAUUAAGCUACCAGAUUUAAGGCUCGGACUACACUACCAUGUUGUAG
rnacentral:lncRNA from 1 species